GUUCGUCAGAACAUCUUGGAUUUUAUGGAUGAGGGGCCAUUAUUUAAAGGUUUCAUGAAGGACUAUGAAGCUGGUCUCCAUACAGACUUGACCAGCUAUGGUUCCUUGAAGAUUUUAUGACAAGACUGGAGGAAGCCUAUUUACUAGCUGACAGUGCCGAAGUGGUUAUAGUUGAAGAAUAGUAAAGGAUUACAUUUCUGUGCGGAAGGAUUAAAAAACUACACCAGACUGGUGGCCAUGACAGAUGUCAGUGGGAAAUUUAAACAUGGACUAGAUACUUUAAUGUGUAGCAAAAAAGUUCAUUGUUAAUGGUGGUGUUUUUCUGUGAUAUAUUGACUUGGAUAGUAUUACUCUUCGGAAAUACAGAGCUGUCAAUGCUGCAAUUUUGUUGUGAAAUUCACAAUCCAUGUCCAAAAGUGCUUGUUUUACUAUACAGCAAAGAAGGAGAAAUUGUACUGUGCCGACACCUAUAUGACAAAUUCAGAAAGUGGAAUAUCUCAACAAACAUAGGGUUUACAGUCAUGAAACUUCACACACUAGUAGCUGAUAACAUUACAAAUCAGUGGCUAAAUGGAUAUUUCCAAGGCGAUGCAUUCCAUACAUUAGAAGGAAUUUAGAAUCAUACAACCAGUCAGCAGCUACCCAUAAACCAGACCAACCUAUAAAGUCGAGCGGGCAGAAGCUGUGAUUCCCAGUGUAACACCGCAGACUGACGGCUAGUUUUCGGAUUACAUUUCCUGUGUGGAAGGAUUAAAAAACUACACCAGACUGGUGGCCAUGACAGAUGUCAGUGGGAAAUUUAAACAUGGACUAGAUACUUUAAUGUGCAAAAAAGUUCAUCGCUGAUGCUGGUGUUUUUCUGGGAUAUAUUGACUGGGAUAGUAUUACUCUUCAGAAAUACAGAGCUGUCAAUGCUGCAAUUUUAUUGUGAAAUUCACAAUCCAUGUCCGAAAGUGCUUGUUUUACUAUACAGCAAAGAAGGAGAAAUUGUACUGGGCUGACACCAUCAGAUGUGAGUACUGUUUGUUUAAAGGGGACUACAUGCACUCAAUAUAGGUGGGUUUUUA